GACGAACGCUGGCGGCGUGCUUAACACAUGCAAGUCGAGCGGUAAGGCCCCUUCGGGGGUACACGAGCGGCGAACGGGUGAGUAACACGUGGGUGACCUGCCCUCAGCUCUGGGAUAAGCCUGGGAAACUGGGUCUAAUACCGGAUAUGACUCCAUGACGCAUGUCGUGGGGUGGAAAGCCUUGUGCGGCUGGGGAUGGGCCCGCGGCCUAUCAGCUUGUUGGUGGGGUGAUGGCCUACCAAGGCGACGACGGGUAGCCGGCCUGAGAGGGCGACCGGUCACACUGGGACUGAGACACGGCCCAGACUCCUACGGGAGGCAGCAGUGGGGAAUCUUGCGCAAUGGGCGAAAGCCUGACGCAGCGACGCCGCGUGAGGGAUGACGGCCU
rnacentral:rRNA from 1 species